UUUGCGGAGAGUUUGAUCCUGGCUCAGGAUGAACGCUGGCGGCGUGCCUAAUACAUGCAAGUCGAACGAGGUGCCUUUGUAGCAAUACGAAGGUAUCCUAGUGGCGAACGGGUGAGUAACGCGUUGGUGACCUACCCCAAAGUGUGGGAUAACAGAUCGAAAGAUCUGCUAAUACCGCAUGUGGUCUUCGGAUUUAGAAACUGAUGACUAAAGGAGCAAUUCGCUUUGGGAGGGACCUGCGUCCCAUCAGCUAGUUGGUGAGGUAAUGGCUCACCAAGGCUACGACGGGUAGG
rnacentral:rRNA from 1 species